rnacentral:rRNA from 1 species
AUUGAACGCUGGCGGCAGGCCUAACACAUGCAGUCGAGCGGAUGAAGGGAGCUUGCUCCUGGAUUUAGCGGCGGACGGGUGAGUUAUGCCUAGGAAUCUUCCUGGUAGUGGGGGAUAACGUUCGGAAACGGGCGCUAAUACCGCCUACGUCCUGAGGGAGAAAGUGGGGGAUCUUCGGACCUCACGCUAUCAGAUGAGCCUAGGUCGGAUUAGCUAGUUGGUGGGGUAAAGGCCUACCAAGGCGACGAUCCGUAACUGGUCUGAGAGGAUGAUCAGUCACACUGGAACUGAGACACGGUCCAGACUCCUACGGGAGGCAGCAGUGGGGAAUAUUGGACAAAGGGCGAAAGCCUGAUCCAGCCAUGCCGCGUGUGUGAAGAAGGUCUUCGGAUUGUAAAGCACUUUAAGUUGGGAGGAAGGGCAGUAAGUUAAUACCUUGCUGUUUUGACGUUACCAACAGAAUAAGCACCGGCUAACUUCGUG